GGAUCAGCAGCAGUUUUCACAGGAAACGUCUCGGGUUGACGUGAACGUUUCUUCGCGUCGCUGCACAUUUCCGUUUCGCCAUCUUUUACCUCGGAGGCGUGUGGAUCGCGUCAUAUCGCGUGUGUAUCGCGCAGUUUUAGCAGUUUUACAGACUACUGACUUGGUUCUACGAGCCGCAAAAUGCCGGGUUUUAGCAGCGUUGGCACAUUUAAAAUCUUCAUUGGUAAUUUAGCCGACAAGACCUCGAACGCGGAUAUAAAACCAUUGUUCGAGAAAUACGGCAAGGUCGUGGAAUGCGACGUGGUAAAGAAUUAUGGCUUUGUGCAUAUGGAAAACGAGGAAGCAGGACGAAAUGCCAUACAGAAUCUAAAUGGACAUAUGGUCCAUGGGCAGCCAAUAAAAUGCGAAGCCGCAAAGAGUCGUAAGGGUCCAAAUACUCCUACGACAAAGAUCUUUGUCGGCAAUCUUACAGAUAACACGAAAGCGCCGCAAGUGCGCGAACUGUUUGCCAAGUAUGGCACAGUUGUUGAAUGCGACAUUGUGAGGAAUUAUGGUUUCGUCCAUCUUGAAGCGACGGGAGACGUGAACGACGCCAUCAAGGAGUUGAACGGGCAGAUCGUAGACGGGCAGCCGAUGAAAGUGCAGAUUUCUACCAGUAGGGUGCGACAGAGGCCAGGAAUGGGUGAUCCGGAACAAUGCUAUCGAUGCGGACGAGGCGGUCACUGGUCCAAGGAAUGUCCCAAGGGAGGUAUGGGAGGUGGACCAGACAGAAAUGGAUACAGAGAUCGAAUGUUUGGACGUGAUCCGUAUCCUCCACCGCCACCACCACCUUUCCUUCGGGACCGACUCAUGGGUGGUGGCCGCUUUGGAGACUACGAAAGCUACUACGACCGGCGCGGGUUCGAGGACACGAGGGAUCUCUACGAGAGGCGGUUUACGGGUAUGACAGGGCCCUGUGACAUGGGAAGUUCCAUGUGCGGGCUAGACUUUCCACCAAUGCCUCUACCAUCAAGACGAGACCCAAUGCCUCCUAUGCCUCCUCUAGGUAUGGGAUCCAUGCGCGACACUGGCUUCUCCCGUGGAAACGAGUAUGGCAUGUUCAGCCGCCGAUCACCCCCUCCAAGUGGCAACAACGGCCGGUUCAGUGCACCUCAGGCGUACCAUCUUUGUCCAUGAACGCGGGCAACCCUAGAGAGACAGUCCCGGGUCAGCGUUCAAGUCGUACAAGAACCGGGAUUACGAGGGCCAUCGCCGUCGCGCCGGUUCGCACCAUACUAAAUCGUCGCGUCGGGCUCGGAUCGGUCUCUGUCGGUCGCCGUCGGUCCGUCGGGUCUGUCUGUCGCUAGCAGGAAGCCUCGGAACCGAGAUACUCUUGGCCGUCUUGCGAACUGCACGCGUGAAGAUCUGCCGCCCGCUCUAUGAGAACAAGUGUUACCCGCAAUGCGCAAUGUUUUUAUUUAGGCGAAAAAAAAAACGGAAACAAAAGUAAAAAGCUAAACGCUAAAUGAAAUACAACCAAUCCAAAAAUAGCAGAGACAGGCAAAAAUAGAAAAUAUCUUAAUUAUCUUUUCUUCCAACCGACGAAUCCGUCAUAUCUCUUCAAGACUCCCGGCUUAUCGAUCCUUUCAUACCUCUUGUCAACUAUCUUAUUGUCUUUAGGUCCCUUUACCCCGUACUCUCUUCCCUCUACGUCAUGCAUUUGUAUAAAAUCACAAUUAAAGUGAUCCUCGAUAUUAAGAACUCGAUGUAGCUUCUCCACCGCGGAGACUCCUCGAUCCUCGAUCAUAACGUUUCUUAAUAAAUAUAUUUUGACAAACGUUUUUAUCUCUCACUGAUUUUCGGGAAAACAUAGAUCUUGGACGUAAAUUUACAUAUUUGAUUUUUACGGGAGGGAAAAAAAAUAUGGGAUCGACGAGCAUUCCGGUGGGGUCGUAUUCUGCGGCGAUCGUUUCGGUUUUCUUUGACGAUGACCUACCACUUGGCCUGCUUUUCUCCGCUACGCCAGCAAUCGAUCAGAGGCUUUUGUCGCGCGCGUACGCGUCGCACUUCGCCGCAGAAAUUGCUGAACGAUUAGCAAUCGAUCGCAGAUACAGCGUAAUUUAACAUUAAUAGAUUUUAUUCGUACAUUAUGUCAAUCAUCCCCGCGUAAUAGAGCAAAAGAUGUCCUGAUCGAGAAGCGUGUUGUUCGCGGAAUUCCCGUCGACUUUUAUUUAUUGCGCCAAAAAAAUAUGUAUCAGAUUUUUCCUCUGUCGGGAGUAGCGCGAACAUUCGUACAACGAUGCUAAAGGAUGCUCUAAGGGAGAUAUUUAUAGUUGUUUUUUGAAAAAUUCAUAUAUGCAUGUAAAUAAUAUCUUAUUUAUGAUUAUAAAUAAGAAUUUUGGAUGCAAUAUGGAUAAAUGAAUUUUGAUUAAAAAAAAAAAAUAACUAUGAAUAUUACUGUCUUAAAUAUACCGUAGAAAAUAUAUCUGCAGAUGAAUUGUAUUAAAUAUGCGUCAUGAUUUUUUUACUCGCAUUAAAUUAAUAAUCUCAUCGAUUGGCCGCCUCGCGUAUCUCGAUCGAAGCUCUAUUCUUUUCUUUAUAACUCAAGUAGAUUAACCGGCAAAAAGCCGCGACGCGAUUCUUAAAAUAUAAAAAAAUAGCGGAAGAGUACCUUUCGAGCGAACAAUUGUAUAUUCAAUUUUGAAAUCGGCGAAUUUUAAACCAUUAUUAAACUUGAGAGCAGGCCUCAUCUUCCGAAACGAUUGUGUACAUGUCACCGAAAUAAGCACUAUUCCAUUAUUUUUGACAGAUGAUUUUGUAUAGAGCGUAAAAUGGUAGCCUUAACGUGUUUUUAGCAUGUUCGCGAAAGAGUAUCGAGAAGACGUAGGCCGUGCUUAAGAAAGAAGAAGCGUUCGCCAAAAUCUUUCCCCAAAUGGGAGGGGUAAGCGUGCAGGUUCGAUUGUAUAAAAAGAAAAAAAGAAUAUUUCCACAAUGCCAUCUCCCGCUUUUACCACAAAAAGAAAGAAUUAUAUAAUUGGACUUAUAUUAGACCCGGUAGGAUGCGCCGAUUCUGUAUGGAAAACCUGAAGGUCGAACAUUAUCGUUAGAAUAUAGUAACGUAAUCUUUUUAUUAAAGUAGGAUUAAUUCCGACAUAUAAAAAAAAAGACGUGUUGUAGUCUGUAAUAAUCGCACUUUCAUUUCUUUUUUCGAGCGUAGACACUUGCUGUAAGUCUUCUUUUUUUCUAUUCUCCCAUCUACGUCUUUGGUUUUUUUUUUUUUUUCCUGAAAAACGACCGUUUUUUCAUUAAAGAUUAUAUAAAUUAUAACCACGAUGAUGCAAAUAAUAAUGAUACUGAAUAUAAGAGAUAUGUAAUAACAAUGUAUUUGUGAAAUUCACAAAAAAAAACGACGUGUAUUGCGUGUUUCUUUAAUUACAUCACACCGACCGCUC